GGACCGUUCAGAGCUGGGUUAGGGUUGGGACCAUUCAGAGCUGGGUUAGGGUUGGGACCGUUCAGAGCUGGGUUAGGGUUAGAACCGUUCAGAGCUCUGGUUAGGGUUAGGGUCGGGACCGUUCAGAGCUGGGUUAGGGUUAGGACCAUUCAGAGCUGGGUUAGGGUUAGGGUCGGGACCGUUCAGAGCUGGGUCAGGGUUAGGGUCGGGACCGUUCAGAGAUGGGUUCAUGGUCAGGGUCGGGACCGUUCAGAGCUGGGUUCAUGGUCAGGGUCGGGACCGUUCAGAGCUGGGUUAGGGUUGGGACCGUUCAGAGCUGGGUUAGGGUUAGGACCAUUCAGAGCUGGCUUAGGGUUAGGGUUGGGACCGUUCAGAGCUGGGUUAGGGUUGGGACCGUUCAGAGCUGGGUCAGGGUUAGGGUCGGGACCGUUCAGAGCUGGGUCAGGGGUUAGGGUCGGGACCGUUCAGAGCUGGGUCAGGGUUAGGGUCGGGACCGUUCAGAGCUGGGUUCAUGGUCAGGGUCGGGACCGUUCAGAGCUGGGUCAGGGUUGGGACCGUUCAGAGCUGGGUUAGGGUUAGGGUUGAGACCGUUCAGAGCUGGGUCAGGGUUAGGGUUGGGACCGUUCAGAGCUGGGUUAUGGUUGGGACCGUUCAGAGCUGGGUUAGGGUUAGUGUCGGGACCGUUCAGAGCUGGGUUAGGGUUAGGACCAUUCAGAGCUGGGUUAGGGUCGGGACCGUUCAGAGCUGGGUUAGGGUUAGGGUUGGGACCGUUCAGAGCUGGGUCAGGGUUAGGGUUAAGACCGUUCAGAGCUGGGUUAGGGUUGGGACCGUUCAGAGCUGGGUCAGGGUUAGGGUUAGGACUGUUCAGAAAUGGGCGAGGGUUAGGGUUUUUCAAAGCUGGGUCAGGGUUAGUAGAAUAUGUACCAACCCUGCCAGGUCAAUGUUACUUUUGCUGCGUUCAAAACAACUGGGAAUUCGAUAAACCAGAUCUGACUGGGGAGAAAUCGAUUUGAACGGUCAUCCAACUCGGGCCUCUUUCUAGAGCUCCGACUUUCCGACCUGAAGAUCACUGACGUUAUGGUUUGACCUCGUAUUGUUACGAAUUCCCAGUAGUUUUGAACGCGGCAUUAGUCCUAUCACUCUCCAGUGAUGUCAUUUAAACCUGUCUCACUCUCCAGUGAUGUCAUUUUAAACCUGUCUCACUCUCCAGUGAUGUCAUUUUAAACCUGUCUCACUCUCCAAUGAUGUCAUUUAAACCUGUCUCACUCUCCAGUGAUGUCAUUUAAACAUGUCUCACUCUCCAGUGAUGACAUUUUAAACCUGUCUCACUCUCCAGUGAUGUCAUUUAAACCUGUCUCACUCUCCAGUGAUGUCAUUUAAACCUG
rnacentral:lncRNA from 1 species